UACGUAGGGCGCAAGCGUUAUCCGGAAUUAUUGGGCGUAAAGAGCUCGUAGGCGGUUUGUCGCGUCUGCCGUGAAAGUCCGGGGCUCAACUCCGGAUCUGCGGUGGGUACGGGCAGACUAGAGUGAUGUAGGGGAGACUGGAAUUCCUGGUGUAGCGGUGAAAUGCGCAGAUAUCAGGAGGAACACCGAUGGCGAAGGCGGCCCACUGGGCCGGUACUGACGCUGAGGCACGAAGGCGUGGGGAGCGAACGGG
rnacentral:rRNA from 1 species